CGGACCGCAGCCUACCAGAGAUGGACCAGAAACAGAUCUGGUGGAAGUCCCGGCGUGUUUGCUCACUGCACGCCAACAGACUGCCAUCGCUCUCAUUCACUGUGUAUGCAAGGGGCUGAGUUGGAACACAAAGCAUGCUGGGAUAUCUGGAAAUGCAGCCAAAGCUGGCGGUGAGCCAAGAGGGCAGGAGGCAGGAACAACAGAAAACUCAGAGGCCAAUCACAUCAAGACAGCCAAUCAGGAUGCAGCAGAGCCCCCUCUCUCUCUCUCUGAGCAGCUGUGUGUGCAACCAGGAAGUACCAAAGCCUGACUAAUGACUUCAGUUUCAUCAGUUUAUAGUUUGACGAUAUGAAAAACAUCAGUGAGUGUUAUAGUUUGCUGAUCUUAUUUGAUGUUAGCAGCUUAGCUCAGUAAGUAUCCAGAACUCACAGCUUCAACAACAUUUACGUCAUUUUAAAGAACUUUUCCCCUCAGUAAUGUCUGUCCUCAUCACCCAGCAGACAGAAACAGAGCUUCUCUGGUUGAUGUUUAGUAUGUCUAACACCCCUGAGCACUGAGUGGGUCUGAGAGGACCGGAAAGACCCUCUCUUCAUAUCCAUCAGUGACCAGAGAUGCAGGGUGGACUCCACUUUACAAGAACUCAUCAAAUAAAGUCAGUAAGAAUCAUCAUUCCUCAACUGCUUCCAAUUUUUCCUCUCAGACUAACCCUGCUGCUCCAAUGAGGAGCGUGCUGUUUGUGUUGAAUUUGGCGCCCCCUCUGGACACUUCUAACAUCUUUGCUGAUUUUGUCCUGCACAUGUAGAAGUCGUGUUUUCUGUUGACAGUCAAACGCAUCACUUACUGAGGACAUCUGCUGUAUGGAGGUAAAAGAAGACUGUUUCUUUUCUGCUGCCUGUCCCCUCAUGACCGUUUCAGGCAUUCAAAAUCACAACAUAGAAAAUGUCCUGUCUGAUGGUCUAGUUUGCUGUUAUAGCUCAUAAAGAGGAAACACUGUUCAUCUCAGUCUGCUAAAUUUAAAUCCAAAUUCUCUUAA